rnacentral:rRNA from 1 species
CGCGGUAAUACGUAGGUGGCAAGCGUUAUCCGGAAUUAUUGGGCGUAAAGGGAGCGUAGGCGGUUUGAUAAGUCUGAGGUGAAAGUUCGGGGCUCAACUCCGGAUUGCCUUUAGAAACUGUCAGACUAGAGUGCAGGAGAGGGCAAUGGAAUUCCAUGUGUAGCGGUAAAAUGCGUAGAUAUAUGGAGGAACACCAGUGGCGAAGGCGGUUGCCUGGCCUGUAACUGACGCUGAGGCUCGAAAGCGUGGGGAGCAAAUAGGAUUAGAUACCCUAGUAGUCCACGCUGUAAACGAUGAUUACUAAGUGUUGGAGCAAUUCAGUGCUGCAGUUAACGCAAUAAGUAAUCCGCCUGGGGAGUAUGCACGCAAGUGUGAAACUCAAAGGAAUUGACGGGGGCCCGCACAAGCGGUGGAGUAUGUGGUUUAAUUCGAAGCAACGCGAAGAACCUUACCAAGUCUUGACAUACCGCGCAAGGCCCUGGAGACAGGGAGAUAGUUAUGGCGGAUACAGGUGGUGCAUGGUUGUCGUCAGCUCGUGUCGUGAGAUGUUGGGUUAAGUCCCGCAACGAGCGCAACCCUUAUCUUUAGUUACCAUCAUUCAGUUGGGGACUCUAGAGAGACUGCCGGUGACAAACCGGAGGAAGGUGGGGAUGACGUCAAAUCAUCAUGCCCCUUAUGACUUGGGCUACACACGUACUACAAUGGCGUAUACAGAGAGACGCGAAGUGGCGACAUGGAGCAAACCUCACAAAGUACGUCUCAGUUCAGAUUGAAGUCUGCAACUCGACUUCAUGAAGGCGGAAUCGCUAGUAAUCGCGGAUCAGCAUGCCGCGGUGAAUACGUUCUCGGGCCUUGUACACACCGCCCGUCAAACCAUGAGAGUUGGUAAUACCCGAAGC